rnacentral:rRNA from 1 species
AGGGUUCGAUUCUGGCUCAGGAUGAACGCUGGCGGCGUGCUUAACACAUGCAAGUCGAACGGGAUCCAUCAGGCUUUGCUUGGUGGUGAGAGUGGCGAACGGGUGAGUAAUGCGUGACCGACCUGCCCCAUACACCGGAAUAGCUCCUGGAAACGGGUGGUAAUGCCGGAUGCUCCGACUCCUCGCAUGGGGUGUCGGGAAAGAUUUCAUCGGUAUGGGAUGGGGUCGCGUCCUAUCAGGUAGUCGGCGGGGUAACGGCCCACCGAGCCUACGACGGGUAGCCGGCCUGAGAGGGCGACCGGCCACAUUGGGACUGAGAUACGGCCCAGACUCCUACGGGAGGCAGCAGUGGGGAAUAUUGCACAAUGGGCGCAAGCCUGAUGCAGCGACGCCGCGUGCGGGAUGAAGGCCUUCGGGUUGUAAACCGCUUUUGAUCGGGAGCAAGCCUUCGGGUGAGUGUACCUUUCGAAUAAGCACCGGCUAACUACGUGCCAGCAGCCGCGGUAAUACGUAGGGUGCAAGCGUUAUCCGGAAUUAUUGGGCGUAAAGGGCUCGUAGGCGGUUCGUCGCGUCCGGUGUGAAAGUCCAUCGCUUAACGGUGGAUCUGCGCCGGGUACGGGCGGGCUGGAGUGCGGUAGGGGAGACUGGAAUUCCCGGUGUAACGGUGGAAUGUGUAGAUAUCGGGAAGAACACCAAUGGCGAAGGCAGGUCUCUGGGCCGUUACUGACGCUGAGGAGCGAAAGCGUGGGGAGCGAACAGGAUUAGAUACCCUGGUAGUCCACGCCGUAAACGGUGGAUGCUGGAUGUGGGGCCCGUUCCACGGGUUCCGUGUCGGAGCUAACGCGUUAAGCAUCCCGCCUGGGGAGUACGGCCGCAAGGCUAAAACUCAAAGAAAUUGACGGGGGCCCGCACAAGCGGCGGAGCAUGCGGAUUAAUUCGAUGCAACGCGAAGAACCUUACCUGGGCUUGACAUGUUCCCGACAGCCGUAGAGAUAUGGCCUCCCUUCGGGGCGGGUUCACAGGUGGUGCAUGGUCGUCGUCAGCUCGUGUCGUGAGAUGUUGGGUUAAGUCCCGCAACGAGCGCAACCCUCGCCCUGUGUUGCCAGCACGUCAUGGUGGGAACUCACGGGGGACCGCCGGGGUCAACUCGGAGGAAGGUGGGGAUGACGUCAGAUCAUCAUGCCCCUUACGUCCAGGGCUUCACGCAUGCUACAAUGGCCGGUACAACGGGAUGCGACACGGCGACGUGGAGCGGAUCCCUGAAAACCGGUCUCAGUUCGGAUUGGAGUCUGCAACCCGACUCCAUGAAGGCGGAGUCGCUAGUAAUCGCGGAUCAGCAACGCCGCGGUGAAUGCGUUCCCGGGCCUUGUACACACCGCCCGUCAAGUCAUGAAAGUGGGUAGCACCCGAAGCCGGUGGCCUAACCCUUUGUGGAUGGAGCCGUCUAAGGUGAGACUCGUGAUUGGGACUAAGUCGUAACAAGGUAGCCGUACCGGAAGGUGCGGCUG